GAAACUGGCAUCAACAAGAAUCCUUUUCAUGGCCACAUCAAUGAAAGUAUUAAAAAUCUUCCCACUCUGAGUCGGGUGAGACCAUUUGUGACACUUCCCAAAAAGGUGGUGCAGAGAAAAUGACUGCUUUGUCCAGAACUUCAGACUCACUAAGAGUCCUGUGAUGGAAAACUGCUGGAGCAGGCAGAGUGGGUUCAAGAAAGGUUGGUUUAUGUUUGCGUGACUAAAACACAUGAUCAUGUUCUGGUAUCUUUUGGGAAAAGCUGUGUUGUUAUCGCCAUCGCAGGGGUUUUGCCUAGCUACUGGUUUGUUCAGUAAAACAUUAGAAAUUGCAAAGAUUCAAGAAUUUGUUACUGUAAUUGCUUGCUCAAAAUUCAAACUGAAAAGCAGCUGUAAUUUGGGGUUCAGUUUGUUUCUAGGUUUUUUGGUCCACUUCAAUCACUUAGGCAGCAGAAGCAAUGCCAUAUGGCUUGGGCACCCAGUUGUGCACGUACCACUAGCACAGAGGCAACAGUGCGGCAAAUUGUUCCAAGAAUAAUUACUCAGCUGAAAGUUGCUUCUUUGAGCUGUUUGGAAAAUAUUUGCUAACAAUCAGUUUCUGCAUAAAAGUCAGUACUGCUUUGUAGAUAGCAAAAUGAGCUAUAUUUGUCAAUUAAAUGAUUCACAAACAUUUCAGCCAAAGCUUGUUUUUUUUAAACAAAGAAAAUAUCUCUGUCAGGAGAUAUUGUUCUGCGUUAAAACUCAAGAGCUUUAUCAGGCAUUACCUGAACCAGCAGCUAAGUUAAAACUUCGCAAAGCAUCUUAUCUCCUGAAAUAUUCAGAAUUAAAUAGGUGUUGAGAGAAACAAAGAAAGAGAUUUUUAAAACAAAACGAGGAAAUCAUCAGCAGGGGUUCUGAAGUCUGGUUGCCUCUCUUCCUUCAAUAGCAAUCUAGGUACCCUUUUUCUGUACAAGUGGCACACGAGGGCUUCCCAUCCAUAAGAACAAAGCCUAGGUGAGAAAUGGGAAUUGCUUUGUUAGAGUGGGAUGGUUGCAGUGUCAGGCUGUGCAGACUCCUUGGACGUUGGAGGAAGGAAUAAGCACGGCACUGCAUGUGUAUUAUUUUGCUCUUGCUGUGUUCUCCAGAAACCACGAGGCUGGCAUUUGUGUUUAUCAUAGAAAUAUAAUCAAGAGGAUCAGUUCUAGCAAAUUGAAGUAACUUGGAAGGAGGUUAAGCACCGCUGUGUGCUGGCCUGUUGGCACUUUUCCAUCUGCCCACUGCAGAGGAGAGCUGUGGGCAAGGGACCCCUCAGCCUGACCCAGCGCACGGCCACUCGGGUGCCACGCAGGGAACGGCUGUGUUACCCUCUGCCCUAUAGCUGCUUUACAGUCUCCAUGCAGGGAGGAAUGGCAACGCAUGUGGUGUGGUGGGUGCCUCAUGAAAUCGAGUUGAGUGUAGUACAGAGAGCUAUAUCUUAUUUGAUUGGAUAAUGCGAUAUUUUUUCUAUAUUUAAGUAUAGGUAUACUUAAUGUAUAGACCAUACUGGUCUGGAUUUUACUGCUUUCUCACACACCUCUCCUCCCCUCAAAAGAAGACCCAUUUUGCAGUCAUGCAUAAAAUGUCCUACCAAGCUGUUCACAUAGUAGUAUCUCGUCGAAGCGUGUUUCUUAUGGAAUUGCAUGUCUUGUGUCCUGUGUCUCUUCAGUAUUCUCCUCCAAGCAUCCUUCUAGCCUGGUCCUGCUUAAUUUGUGAGGUCUAAUGAGAUCACAGUCCAGGGUGAAUGUACUAUGGGCAAGCUACCUGCACAAGUCAAAUGUAUGCUAAUCAUAAUGUAUUCAAGUGUCCUGCAAAACCAUAACUACCAAAUAACAGGGCCAGUAGCUAUAUUCAUCAGGAAUUAAAUGUGAGUCUCUGUGAAGCACAGGAGUUUGAAUCUCACCACCUGUGACAGCUGGUGUGUGUUAUGGGACAUGACAGAACUAACAGCAAAGAUAGGUGCCUGACACCAGCAACUGCCUCUUCUCCCACUGCUUUGGUUUGGUGGCCUCAUUAGUCAGGCCGUGUUGUUAGGAUAUAAGACCUGUAGACAAUAAAGGCUGUAAGUCAGUACAGCUGUGUAGCCAGCCACGUGGUUAUGGAUGACGAGAAUAUUCCCUGUAUGGCCAUGAAGAUUAAUGCAGAGUUGGUCUGUGUUAUUCAGUCCGCAUGCAAGAAAUGGUUGGUCCCUUGGGACUUGUUUUGGUCAUGAUUAGUGCCACAUUGCCUUUACAGUUGAAAUGCCCUGUGUGCUAUGACACAUAUGGAAACUGCAUCAUCUCUCUGGAAGGCAGAAGCAACUGAUGACAUUUGCUGUCUUCUGCUGUCUUGGAGCAAGCAGUAGCUGUAAAUUCUUCCAGUGCAGCUUUGUGCAGCUGGCACUUUCUUUCCCCCAUCCCUUUAAGCAAGAACACUGGCAAGCUGCCUGCCCUCCCCCGAGAGCCUCAUCCUCCAGGUUUGUUUGCACACUGCUUGCCAAACGCCUAAAAAAAGGAACCAAUCAGAGUGAGUUUGCUUAAUGCAUUAAUGAAUCUGCUUAGGUGUCAUCAAGUCUAAUUUCUUACUGAGCUGUGACAGUUUAAUGCCUUGGGGCUGAGUUGCUGAGGAGAAGGGUGAUGGAUGGCCAGAGGAGCGCUGAAACCUGAGGACUUGACCAUGCCAUGUUCCCCAGCCCAGAGUUAAACUUCCCUGGGUACUAACGGAAGCAUGUAAACAAAAACACAGACGAAGUCCUCAGGCAGUUAAUUUCUGGAACCACAGAGGAUUUGAAUGGAAAGCCAUUAACAACAAAAUGGGGUCCUUCCUCAUCACGUCUCUUCUCCAUGUUUAUGUUGUCAUGAUGUCCUCCAGCACAGGAGAGUGAGGAAGCCGCUGUUACGUCGCUGCCUGUUUGAGACAGGCUGUUACCUGCCUGUGAGUCUGGGUACCCUCCAGCUUGUGGUAUGCACUUUGCCAAGUUAUUAUCAGGGACUGAUGGAAGCUGAAAGUGUCUUUCAGGACCUCUUCAAAGCUGAUGGCAGGUUUUGAGGUUGUGUGCUCUCUGCUUGUAAUCUUUGUGAGCCCUUCCAAUCAGAAAUGCAGUCCUGAAGCCUCACACCCACACCCCAAAUUGUGUCGUCAGAUCUUCGGCUUGGAAGAUGAAUGCUGACCCCGUCCCGGUUGUUACCCUGCCACAGAGAGUUGUUGCUAGAUGAAGAGAAGCUGUGUUUUGCUGGUCUCAAUGCAGUUUACUUACUCAGAAGUCCCAAGUGAGGUCUGGAGUGCUUUCGCCUUCCCCAGUGUCCCAGUGUAUUUUAACAGUACUUGAGUCACCUCCUGAAGAGCUGUGAAGUGCCACUUGAGGCAAUGCAAACUGCUCUGGGCUCAUCAGAGGGAAGUUGAAAUGUAAGUAUGAGUCCAAAUUAUUACUGUAAUAAUUUUCCCUGACCUUAGUGUUUCAUAGUCUGUGUGUUUAUGCUUUAACGUGUUAAGUUGUCAUUUCCUUUCCCGCUUUCUUUCAUGAGCUUUGUUCACAAAACACAUCUCCUUUAAGGAAACCAAAGCAGUGUUUUUCUGAGAUUUUGGUCUCAGAUGUUGGCCUCAGCAUGCAGUGGCGCAGAAGGUGCUCCCUUCCAACAGGAAUUCUCAAAGUGUAGAUGCCAAAGCUGUAGGCUUCCCUAAUGUAUGGUUUUGUAUCUUAACAGCUCCUCUCUGCUUGCCUUUUGUGGCAUUGAGGUGCAUGCCCUGCACACUUUUCUUGUCACUUCUUGGACAAUUUGAGCUAUUCUUCAUCUCAGCACUUGGUGGAGGGAGGGUUGUAGAAGGUGGUAUCCCUCUCAGAGCCCUCAGGACCCUGCUCAUUAGGGGACAGCGUCUGAUGAAUAAAGAAGAGCCAGGGUUGUCCUGAUGCUCCCCAGGGCUGGAGAAAGGCAGAUACAGCACUAUCUAUGCUCUCCCUGUUUCUGUCCAUUUUUUUCUUCUCUUUUCCUAUCACUCUGAAUUCGGAUUGAUAAAAAUGAACAUUUUAAAAAUAAAAGACCUUCACACCCACCUUUUCUGUAUAUUGGUAUUUCAGCUCCCAUUAGUUUUUAUCAGUGGAGGAGUUGUUGCAGCACAGCUUGUACUUGUUACUGAAACUCAGCUCUUUCCUACAAGUCUGCAAAGAUUCACUGCAACCUCCAGUCCUACAUUAAUAACCUGCUUUGUAGGUCACAUAACCAGAAGGUCUGUUUAAGCUCACCAGCUCCACACCUGUCUGCUGGGCUCUAAUUAGCGUUUACUCUGUGCACUUGGGCUGUUUCCCUCAUGGGCUCAAAUGCCAUGUGAUAUCGAUUGCCCUUGCCCAUUGUACAAAUGAGGUUGCCAUGGGCAAAGCCCAGGGGCUUGCAACCCAGCAGAGGUGGCUGUGAACAAAAGAGAAGCUGCCUGCGCAUCAAGAGGCUGCCGCAAAGGGACGCGCUGCUCAGCAAGUGUUCUGUGUGAAAGAAGAUGUGCUGAGAGGAAUUGCUGAACAGGUUUCUGGAUACCAGUGUGUAAGGUGCCAUGAUUUCCAUCCCUGCUGCGGACGGGGGAAAGAGCUCUGCUCAGCCCAGUUCUCCUGCCUGCGGUGCCCUGAGGCUUCAAACCAGGGUGCGGAAGUUUAGCUGAAUAAGUCCAAGAUGUGUUUGUUGGAAUAGAGAUGCCGUGGUUCAUGCCUAGAGAGAGAGGAUUUCAAAGCAAUUUGUUUUGUUAACCUGUGAGGGAUGAUUGGACUGUUCCCUGUCAGGGGCACUGACAAAGGAGUUUUGAGGUGCUAUGGAUAUGGAUAGAUGAGAAUGGGUUUGACCUUGUAGCAAGGUUUAUCCCAUGGCUGCCUCAAGGAAUGUUGUGACAGCUGUCACCAAGUUCAUUUCCAGAGUAGAUGUGAGCACAUAGACACUGCCCCUUCUCCUGUAACAUAAUGCGUCAUUACAGGGCGUGUAGGUGACAUAAGAGCAUGGCCACGUGGGUGAUGCUGCUGGAGGUGAAGUGGGUCUGGCACUAAUUAGGCUCCGGAGGGAAGGUACUCUGUUCCCUGGUUAUGGCUGCAAUUUUUUUCUUCCUUUUAAAAAGCAGGAAAUAAAACUUUGACUUGCUGUUUUUAAGGCUAAGCACAUAGGCUUUUGAGUUUCUCUUUGGUUGAAUCUGUCUCAUCAGCUUCAGUAUUACUGAGCCAAAAGAAAAAAGAGUGCAGGUGCUCAGAGAGGGAGACUGGACAUUAGAUGCUCCUGGGUGGUCUUAGUCUGACCAGCUGACAAUCUUGGCUCUACUUUUGCCACUUUUGAUUCACUCUGAUACAUAAAUGCCUAGUCCCAAAGCAAUAUCACUCUGAUGAACAAACUUGCCUCCAGGUUAGCUUCUGUUUUCAAAGCUCUUUAUUACUUGAAGUAUAAAUCUCUGAAAAUUUGAUCUGGGAAAGAUGUAGGAGGGGGAUGAGGAGGGAAGAUCCAGAGUCUGACGCAUCUCAAAUUGCUUCUGGGGUGCAGAGAAGUUGGCCUGCCACAGCAGCAGAGGGACGACAAACCAAACUCUCUGAAGGACUGAGAUAUAGGGACCCUGCUCAUUAUCAAAGUGUUUGCUGGUUACUUUCUCCCUCUGCUUCUCUCUUUCUCUCUACAGAGAGAAUGCCUUUGCUUCACUUUUUUUUUUUUUCAUUCUGUUUCUUCUUGGUAAUACACCUAACAAGUUAGCUAGCUGGGGCUCUGCUGCAGAGACUGCUGCUGUAAUGACAACAGCAACUGCUCAUAUUAGUGUAAUAUCCAUCACCCCAGGGCCUUUGAGAGCUUUGCAAAGCUUCCAAGCAUCAUUUGCUAUUUUCUGUUGGAGGAUACGUACCUGUAAGAAACUAAAGCUGACUUUUUAAAAAUCUGUGUCCUGCAGAGGUCACAUUUACAAGCUCCUAACAGUUUUCUUGCCCUAAGAUUUAUGUUUAUGAGCCUUCUU